AUUGAACGCUGGCGGCAUGCCUAACACAUGCAAGUCGAACGAGUGGAGGACGGGUGAAUAAUUUCUUGGAACCUGCCUGAUGGAGGGGGAUAACGACUGGAAACGGUAGCUACUGCCGCAUAACAUCAGAUGUGCCCAGAUGGAAUUAGCUAGUAGGUGGGGUAAUGGCUCACCUAGGCGACGAUCCCUAGCUGGUCUGAGAGGAUGACCAGCCACACUGGAACUGAGACACGGCCCAGACUCCUACGGGAGGCAGCAGUGGGGAAUCUUGCACAAUGGGCGCAAGCCUGACGCAGCCAUGCCGCGUGUGUGAAGAAGGUUUUCGGGUUGUAAAGCACUUUUAGCGAGGAGGCGUUACCCAACGAAGAAGCACCGGCUAACUCCGUGCCAGCAGCCGCGGUAAUUC
rnacentral:rRNA from 1 species